CUCUGGUUCCACAUGAGCUCCAGGGCGGAAAGAG
rnacentral:ncRNA from 1 species